GAUGAACGCUGGCGGCGUGCUUAACACAUGCAAGUCGAACGGAAAGGCCCAAGCUUGCUUGGGUACUCGAGUGGCGAACGGGUGAGUAACACGUGGGUGAUCUGCCCUGCACUUCGGGAUAAGCCUUGGAAACUGGGUCUAAUACUGGAUAGGACCACUUCUUGGAUGUUGUGGUGGAAAGUUUUUUCGGUGUGGGAUGAGCUCGCGGCCUAUCAGCUUGUUGGUGGGGUAAUGGCCUACCAAGGCGUCGACGGGUAGCCGGCCUGGGAGGGUGUACGGCCACAUUGGGACUGAGAUACGGCCCAGACUCCUACGGGAGGCAGCAGUGGGGAAUAUUGCACAAUGGGCGCAAGCCUGAUGCAGCGACGCCGCGUGGGGGAUGACGGCCUUCGGGUUGUAAACUCCUUUCGCUAGGGACGAAGCGUUUUGUGACGGUACCUGGAGAAGAAGCACCGGCUAACUACGUG
rnacentral:rRNA from 1 species